rnacentral:rRNA from 1 species
AUUAACGCUGGCAGCGUGCAUAACACAUGCAAGUCGAGCGGAGUGUUUGAGAUUACAUCAAGAGCACUUAGCGGCAGACGAGUGAGUAACACGUAAGAAAUCUACCCUAGAGCGGGGAAUAACCAGUCGAAAGAUUGGCUAAUACCCCGUACGAUCGGAGGAGGGCAUCCUCAUCCGAUGAAAGGCCCGCAAGGGUCGCUCUUGGAGGAUCUUGCGGCCUAUCAGCUAGUUGGCGGUGUAACGGACCACCAAGGCGAUGACGGGUAGCCGGCCUGAAAGGGCGAUCGGCCACGGAGGCACUGAGAAACGGGCCUCACUUCUACGGAAGGCAGCAGUGGGGAAUUUUGGACAAUGGGCGAAAGCCUGAUCCAGCAACGCUGCGUGAGGGACGAAGGUCUUCGGAUUGUAAACCUCUUUUCCCAGGGACGAAAUCCCGCAAGGGUCUGACGGUACCUGGGGAAUAAGCCACGGCUAACUACGU